CUUGUGGAAACGAAAGAACUUGACAAAGAUCUGUGAGUCGUCCUCCUCUGAAAAUGAUAAAAGAGAGCACAGUCUAUAACAACCCUGCACCUUCUUUGAGCAGUUGGGCAAGCAGACGCUUCCAACCGUCGGAGAUUUGCUCAAACUCCUUGAUGCUCUCCAGUGGAUAGUAGAGCACAUCGGUGGGUCGACCGCUGCCGCCGAGCACCAAGCGGCCCGCAUGAUUCGAGUAAAAAUGCAGCUGUAACAUGCGGGGAGCGGUGCUGCGCGGUCUAGCGGGUGGCUUUAGAUGAGCCACAGCGAGGCACCAUCAGCUCAAUGGAGGCUGUCAAUUAACUGGAGCACACACAAUCGAAUUGAUUUCACAGCGCUAAUUGAAUGUUCAAUUUGCCGUUUAACAGCAGCCUAACAGAGGCUUUACAGAGACGCACCGUUCCACGCGCUUCUCACUGUUACCGUCUCUUGUUAUUCUAUUUGUUAUUCAGUUUAGCAACAACGACGACAACUGCUUGCUGUUAUAUCUAUGUGCGCGAAAGCUAGCGAUAAAUUUGCUUUUGGUCUGCAUUUCAAUAAAUUACAUUUAGACAUUUUAAUUAACAUUAAUUUAGCGUAGAAAUAAAAGUGUGUGGCAAGAACGAGCAACAGCCAAAAACAAAUUGACGAGCGCAAGAAUAGCUUCUACAAUUUUUGCAGCUACAAAAUGCUCUUAAUCAAAACAUUUUCUACGACCAUUUCACGCAAUUACCGCUAGUAGAGAGGCCCCUUAAAAGGGGCGACGUACGUGCUCUAUGUAUACGAAUAAACGUUGAGGCGUUUCAUAGGGUGUUUAUCAAAUAAAUUGAUGUCAUCUAUAGUAGAAUAUUCAAAAGCCCCUCCGCCAUCAACUGUCAUCGGCUGAUAAAUUGCAGAACCCGAAUCUGAACAAAAUAUUAUGCAUUGUCUGGGUAUUCGGAGCGCCUCUUUAACAAAAUUUAGGUAAAUAUUUGUGCCAAGAAAUUAAUUAGCCCGCGCAAACACUACUAACCCCUCUGUUUCUGACACGCGCGCUCAACAUAUCCCAGAAAAUAGCUGAAGAUGUACAAGUAUGCGAUAUUAAAAUUAAUAUAUUUAUGGCAAGUGCCUUUGACUUUGAGCCGAUGGAGAAGGAGGAAAACUAUUUGGCAAUUCGGAUAAUUUAGAUAUUUGGACAUCCAAAUGGAUCAACGUCAAGCCCCAAGGGGCUUCAGUACAUGAGAAUAUGGUAGAAGCAACAAUUGAAAAAUCACGUUCAAGCAAUGCCAUCGAUAAUUCUAUAUUUUGCUUUUGUAACGAUUAUCUAUAUUUAAUCAUUUUUGAUCAAUUUCGAAAUAUAAUUCCAUUCUAUACUUGAUUCAA